ensembl:snRNA U6 U6 spliceosomal RNA
UUGCUUACUUCAGCAGCACAUAUACUAAAAACUAGAAUGAUAGAGAUUAGCAUGGCCCCUGCACAAGGAUGACACAGAAAUUUGUGAAGUAUUCCGUAUUAAA